rnacentral:rRNA from 1 species
GAUGAACGCUAGCUACAGGCUUAACACAUGCAAGUCGAGGGGAAACGGCAUUAAGUGCUUGCACUUUUUGGACGUCGACCGGCGCACGGGUGAGUAACGCGUAUCCAACCUUCCCAUGACUAAGGGAUAACCUGCCGAAAGGCAGACUAAUACCUUAUGGUCUUCACUGACGGCAUCAGAUGUGAAGUAAAGAUUUAUCGGUUAUGGAUGGGGAUGCGUCUGAUUAGCUUGUUGGCGGGGUAACGGCCCACCAAGGCAACGAUCAGUAGGGGUUCUGAGAGGGUGCUGGGCGAAACUGGAACUGAGACAAGGGACAGAGGCGUCAGGGAGGCAGCAGGAGGGAAUCGGCGGAAAUGGGCGAAAGGCUGAAGGAAAAACGCCGCGUGAGUGAUGAAGGUAUUCGGAUCGUAAAAAUCUGUGAUGAGGGAAGAAAAAAGGGGUAAGUAAAUAUGCACGUCUGGACGGUACCUAAUCAGAAAGAAACGGCUAAGUACGUG